CGGUGUGACAAAUGGCAUGUGGAACUUAUUCCCGCUGAAGCAGUGUUCCCGGUGGAACGCUUUGAGUGUAACCCUGUUCCCAGGCCUGUGUGUGCGUUUGUUGCUGUGACAACCCCAAAUGACGGAUUGGCAACAGGUGUGGGGGAUUUACUCAGAGAGUUUGCGUGAGGCCUCAUCAACAGUGGAGAGUAUAAAAAGCAAGAGAGAGAGGUGGUCGGGGUGGUUUUUCUCCCUUGUGAAAAGUCGUUUUAUUGGGUGGUAAUAGUUACUGGAGGAUGGGUGAAUGAAGAGGAAAGUGUUGCUUUGAGGGAUUCGAGGACAACAGAAGGAGAGUGAAAUACCCUGUUUGCAUUGGAGAGGAGCUAAAAAAACAUCUCAGAACAUCCUCAGUGGCAGUGAGGAUCGCGCCCCCUUCCCCUCGGACAGAAACCCGAACGAGAAGAGAUGCCCUGUUGAAAUAUUUACUAUCUGCCUCAGAAAAGCCCUGUGCAACCUGUUGACUUCGAGUCUGCUGUAUCCCUGCCAUUCAACUGUAUUGUGAGAAGUGUUUGUUCCUUCCAACGCAUGUGAACUGUAUACUUUGUCUGGAGCAUUCAUUCUGUCUGUCUCAGUAGAAAGCCUGCUGACGUCGAGUUUGCUGCAUCCCUGGAAUACCCACCUGUGCUGAGAGAAGCGACUGUUCCUCUGUCACGAAUCUGAGGCUGGCUUGCUCUGUCUGGAAUACCCAUUCUGUCUGUGUCAGAAGAAGCCCCGUUCAGCCCGUUGACUCCGAGUCCACUGUAUCCCUGCCAUUCAUCUGUAUUGUGAGAAGUGUUCGUUCCUUCCAACGCAUGUGAACUGUAUACUUUGUCUGAAGCAUUCAUUCUGUCUGUCUCAGUAGAAACCCUGCACAGCCUGUUGACUUUGAGUUUGUUGCAUCCUUGUGGCCCACCUGUGCUGAGAGAGGUGACUGUCCUUUGUCACGAACGUGAGGUUGGCACGCUUUGUCUGGAAUAUCCACUCUGACGGUGUCAGGAGAAGCCACCUUACUGUAAGACCAUGCACCUGCCGUAUACAUACUCGACUGAUUUCAUUCACCUCAAGUUCCGUACCUGUGGAAGAAGGAAGGAAGGCUGGAAUUACGUACUUACCGGAGGAGACUUACCGGACCCCUCACUUGCCAAACACAUCCCCACUUCAAGGCUGUGUAUCUGCCGUGUACGGACCUGACCGAUAUCCAUCCGUCCCAAAUUCUGCAUCUGUGAAAAAGGGAAGGAAGGUUGGAAGUAUUUAAUUAUCAGAGGAGACUUACCAAACUGCUGGCUUGCCGAUCGUAUCCCCACCUGUGAAAUACCUACUUGACCACCCAUCUGUCCAUCUAUUGCCCGCACAGAGGAAGAGGGCGGGAGAGUCCCCGGACGCUGCACUGUUCACCUUCAAUCCCUGAGGGCAACAAAGAAAA